rnacentral:rRNA from 1 species
CUUAACAUGCAAGUCGAGCGGCAGCGCGGGGCACUGGUCGGCGAGCGGCGAACGGGUGAGUAAUGCAUCGGAACAUGUCCAUUCGUGGGGGAUAGCCCGGCGAAAGCCGGAUUAAUACCGCAUACGCCCGAGAGGGGAAAGCCGGGGACCGCAAGGCCUGGCGCGAUUGGGUUGGCCUGAUGUCCGAUUAGCUAGUUGGUGAGGUAAAGGCUCACCAAGGCGAUGAUCGGUAGCUGGUCUGAGAGGAUGAUCAGCACACUGGGACUGAGACACGGCCCAGACUCCUAUGGGAGGCAGCAGUGGGGAAUUUUGGACAAUGGGGGCAACCCUGAUCCAGCCAUUCCGCGUGAGUGAAGAAGGCCUUCGGGUUGUAAAGCUCUUUUGUCCGGAACGAAACGGGUUGCGUGAAUAGCGCCGCCUACUGACGGUACCGGAAGGAAUAAGCACCGGUAACUACGUGCCAGCAGCCGCGGUAAUACGUAGGGUGCGAGCGUU